rnacentral:lncRNA from 1 species
UUCCCUUCCACACUGCGGAAGCUUUGUUCUUUCGCUCUUUGCAAUAAAUCUUGCUACUGCUCACUCUUUGGGUCCACGCUGCUUUUAUGAGCUGUAACACUCACCGCGAAGAUCUGCAGCUUCACUCCUGAGCCCAGGGAGACCACGAGCCCACCGGGAGGAACGAACAACCCCAGACGCGCGGCCUUAAGAGCUGUAACACUCACCGCGAAGGUCUGCAGCUUCACUCCUGAGCCAGCGAGACCACGAACCCACCAGAAGGAAGAAACUCCGAACACAUCUGAACAUCAGAAGGGACAGACUCCAGACGCGCCACCUUAAGAGCUGUAACACUCACGGCGAGGGUCCGCGGCUUCAUUCUUGAAGUCAGUGAGACCAAGAACCCACCAAUUCUGGACACACAAUGAGAUAAUAACAUAAGUUUGAAAACUGCAAUUGGGCCUACUAAGGAACCAUGAUAGUGUUUGGUACAUAGAGGACACUGGAAAUGGUUUUCUUAACUGAACAAGUGACUAGAAUAAAGGAAUUAAUGAACGACAUCAGAGCUGAAAUCCCAAACCAUAAAUCAUAAAAGGAUCAGACAGCAAAGAGUACUCAAAAGCUGAUUUAUUGAGAUCCUGAUGAGUUUGAAGUAACUAGAAACUUGAUCAAGACCCUGACUAAUAUAAGAUGAUUUUUUAAAACUGGAAUCUCAGUGGAUUCGUCUCAACACGGCCAGAUGGAUGAUUCUUCCAGGGACUAAUGAACUUGUUAGAAUUUCGGAUAACAUUUGGUUGUCAAAAAAAAAAAAAGAGCAUAAAAAGUAAUAGACCAUAACUGAGAUGGGUGGGGCUUAUUCUAGAUAAGAUAGUCAAGGACUGACAUAUGGGAAGAAGGCUACCUUCUGUGAAGGCAUCAGCCAUUGAGGAUGCUACUUCUGUAGCAUCUGGAGCAAAAUAUUCCAGGCAAAGGGAAUAAGAAGUGACUCUAAAAUAAUCAAUAAUAUGGAAAUUGUACAGCAGAAGUUGAAAGAUUAGAGAGGCAGAAGUUCAGUGAGAAAAAAAAAAAGUAGAAUAGAUAAGGUCAAAGGCUUAAGCCAUAGCAUAUCAGACAGGCUAAUGUUGACCAUUAAAGAAAGUUCCAAAUUCUAAGAGUAAUAGGAGGCUAUUAGAUGUAUUUAAUUAAGAAAGGAUGUGCACUGAUGAGCAUCUUAAACAGAUAGCUUGCUGCUAUUUAGAGAACAGAUUGCAAGAGGGAAAGACCAGCAGUACAAAUAUUGGCUAGUCUGCUACUUCUAUAGUACAAGUGAAGGAUGAUGAUAAAAAGAGGACAUUCGUGGUGGAGUAGGGGUUUUUUAAUUUUAUUUUGAUGAUGGAGCUACAAGAGUUUCUGAUGAUAAUAUAUGUGUGGUUAGAAAAUAAAGUCUUAAUCAACUGGGCACAUGAUGAUCCCAUUUCCAGAAAUAGGAAAGAUUGGGGGAAAAUAGAUUGGAUGGGAGGAAAAAAAAUCAGAAGUUAUAUUUCAGUUAUGUUAAUUUUUAUGUUAAUUUGGUUAUGAUAAGUUUUACUAAAUCAGACAAGAAUAGAAGGAAUCAAUGAUGUGUCUUUGCUACAUCUGAAAGAACUGAUUGGCAUAGAAACUAGAAGAGAUUCCAGAAGAAAUCUAUUUAGGGAAUCUUAAAUGGACUAAAGUUAAGACUAAAAAAAAUUCUGUAUUUCAGUUGACGGAAACUGUGCAUCCCUCCAGCAAUUCUGGAAACCACACGGAGCACGUUGCCUACUGUACAUAAUUCUGGUUUAAGGGGGCCAGAGAGGUGGGAGUGGUGUGGAGCAGGUAGUGUAAGAAUCACUGCAGCUUCCUAUUAAUAAUAAAAAUGUGCAAGACAAUAAACACGGCUGCUAUACCAAAGAAAAGCAGAUUUCUACUCAGAAGAAAAUUCUCUGAGUGACUGCCUCUAUCUGUACCUCUUUCCUGUAACCCUAUAGCCUUCCAACUUACUGAACUACAAUAUAAAACUGUAGGAAACAAUCAGCUUUACUAUAAAGCUAUAGUAAAGUUUUGUUCAGUUUUUUUUCUGAAUUCAUAGAAGGCUAUUGAUUCAGAAUCCAUAGCCACGCCUGUCACAUCAUUUUGCCUGUUUUCAUUUAGAAUCCUUUCCCUACAAAUUUCAAAAGUGUCCUUAGUGUUUUAAAUACUGUUCUUUGCACCUUAUGUUUCAAGUAUUAAGCACUUUUCUCACCUGCAUUUCCGAGCUGAAUUCACCAGCUGGACGCCAUUCCAGUCCACUUAUAACCCAGGCUUAGAAUACCCUCAUAUUCAGGGAAAGGGCAGUUGUCAUAUAACCUGUGACUCUCACCUUCGAUGAUUUUGUGAUCUGUGCUACUGCCUGUAGCCUAGUAUGCAUUAUAACUAAGCUGCUAAGCUAUAUUCUGUUGUUUUUUACUCCUACCAAUGAAGUUGACUAUGUAUUUCCAGUAAAGAAAAAGUUCAUUUUAAAAUCCACACACUAGCCGACUGGGUGCGGUGGCUCACGCCUGUAAUCCCAGUACUUUGGGAGGCCAAGGCGGGCGGAUCACGAGGUCAAGAGAUCGAGACCAUCCUGGCUAACACGGUGAAACCCCGUCUCUACUAAAAAUACAAAAAAAAAAAAAAAAAUUAGCUGGGCAUGGUGGCGGACACCUGUAGUCCCAGCUACUCUGGAGGCUGAGGCAGGAGAAUGGCGUGAACCCGGGAGGCAGAGCUUGCAGUGAGCCGAGAUCAUGCCACUGCAUUCCAGCCUGGGCGACAGAGCGAGACUCCGUCUCAAAAAAUAAAAUGAAAUAAAAUCCACACACUAAACAUCUCUGUUCUCUGUGGAAAGACACAAUUUCAGCAUCAAUUAAAAUAUAACUUUAUGUAGGUAAGGUAUUUGAUCUUAGUGAUGUGUUUCUCUUAAUUUCAGACAGUGACAAGACCCAAGAUUUGUUUUACUCUAAAGUGAGAAAUUAUCCUCAACAAAAAAACAUUUCACAGUGAGAAUCAGAAGAAUAUUUGCAUCAGGCAACUCUGGGUGCUAGAUAUUUAUUUUUUUUCUUUUUCACAUGAACUAUAAAAACUUACCACAAAAGACUGAUCUCCACAACUGCUUAUACUCUAGGAUUAUUAUACAUUGCACUGUUCUUGCUGAUACUCCAAAGACAUGUAGAAAAUAGAAAGGUAAGUUUGCAGGAGGAAAAAAGAACAAUGGAAUGAAGAAGCAAACAGGGAGUUAAAAUAACUCCUUGGAAUAGUAGAAUCAGGAAAGCAAAGGUAAAGCAUUAAAGUCUAAGGGCUGCAUGACUCCUAAGGGGAAAAUGCAUGUAUUUCUUUUAUUUUGCACUGAGAUUAAAUUUGCUGAUUUUUUUUCAUACUGUGUGUUCUUUCGCUCCCAAUCCUCACAUAAAAUAUUUCAGGGUGACCAACUGCUCUUUUGUGUUACAUUUUAAACAGGUAGAUGACUUUCACAUGUAGGCAAAGUUGAUUCUAGGAAUUAUUGUGAGGUAAGAGAAAUGUGUUUGAGACAAGGUGUGGUCUCUUCUUCUUAAGUUUUCCUCUCUGCAUGUUUUUA